rnacentral:rRNA from 1 species
CCCCUUGAAGACGACGAGGUAGAUAGGUCAGAGGUGGAAGUGUGGUAACACAUGUAGCUGACUGAUACUAAUCGGUCGAGGGCAUAACCAAG